ensembl:lncRNA
GGGAAGAGUUUCUACCUGAAGAUCCUUCCUUUUGGAGUAUUAGAUGAGUCUUGAUUCUUGGGAUGAGGGAGUUGGAUGUGAUCAUCCUUAAAGGUUCCUUCCAGCUCUAAGGAGUCCUUGACUGGGGAAAUGGAACAGCGAAUAUACUCUGCCAAUCUCAGUGAUGGCAUUAACUGGAGUACUGUUGAACAACAAUAAAGCCUGCUUAAAGCGACCUCUGCUUUAACCACUAGAUCUUCAUCGAGGCAGAGAGGGUCUGACGGUGUUUCAGAAGUGAGAAGCUUUCCAUGCUGGCACUGUGAGCAGCCUUUGACCGAGGGGUGAGAGCCUCACCAUCCUGCACACGGAGUCCCAAGCAGCCUUAGAUUCCCUCCCAGCUGACAUCAAUGGCGGAACUUCUACGGGCUCAGCAAGGACAACUGCAAUUGUAAACAACAAAAACAGAAAUGAGUUUUUUGCUCCGCGGUAUGAAGCCAUUUUUAUAGAUUUCCAGAAUCAGCAGGCAUAAAAAUAAUCCAUCAAAGCACAUGGAGCUCCUUGACGGUAUUUUGGGGAUGCUAUAUGUCAGAAUGAUGAUUAGAGGGAUAGGCAGCCCUGGAGAUCACAGCUGUACUGCAAUGGAUUAGUACUUCAUUGUUUUGGGAUGACUUUGUCACUUCUGGAUUCUUGUUUGAAUUGGAG